rnacentral:lncRNA from 1 species
UUAUUUCAACCAUCUGCUGAUGCAAUACAACUUUUCACCAAAGAACCCUUACAACCCUCAACAUCUACUAUUGCCCUCUAUAUUACUGCUCCAACCCUAGCCCUUUCUAUCGCCCUUCUUUUGUGAACUCCCCUCCCUAUUCCAGACCCUUUAAUUAAUUUUAAUAUAGGCCUCCUAUUUAUUCUAGCCACAUCAAGCCUAGCCAUCUACUCUAUUUGAUGAUCAGGAUGGGCAUCCAAUUCAAACUAUGCACUAAUCGGUGCAUUACAAGCUGUCGCCCGAACAAUUUCAUAUGAAGUCACCCUAACCAUCAUCCUGUUAUCAGUCCUACUGAGAAGCGGCUCAUUCAAUUUAUAUACACUCAUCACAACACAAGAGUCCCUCUGACUGCUCCUACCAUCAUGACCCCUAGCCAUAAUAUGAUUUAUCUCCACAUUAGCAGAAACUAACUGAGCCCCUUCUGACCUAACAGAAGGAGAAUCAGAGUUAGUCUCAGGUUUCAACAUCGAAUAUACUGCAGGUCCAUUUGCCCUCUUCUUUAUAACAGAAUAUAUGAAUAUUAUCGUAAUAAAUGCCCUAACUACUACAUUUUUUCUAGGAACAUUACACACUAUAUAUUCACCAAACUCUAUACUACAUAUUUCAUUACCAAGACCUUCCUCUUAACCUAUUUUUAUGAAUUCAAACAGCAUAUCCCUGUUUCCGCAACGAUCAACUCAUACACCUCUUACAAAAAAAACUUUCUACCACUUACACUAGUAUUCUGUAUAUGACAUAUCUCAAUACCCAUCCUAAUCUCCAGCAUCCCACCCCAAACAUAA